rnacentral:rRNA from 1 species
AGUGAACGCUGGCGGUAGGCCUAACACAUGCAAGUCGAACGGCAGCACAGUAAGAGCUUGCUCUUACGGGUGGCGAGUGGCGGACGGGUGAGGAAUAUAUCGGAAUCUACUUUUUCGUGGGGGAUAACGUAGGGAAACUUACGCUAAUACCGCAUACGACCUACGGGUGAAAGCAUGGGAUCUUCGGACCUUGCGCGAUUGAAUGGGCCGAUGUCGGAUUAGCUAGUUGGCGGGGUAAAGGCCCACCAAGGCGACGAUCCGUAGCUGGUCUGAGAGGAGGGUCAGCCACAUUGGAACUGGGCCACGGUCCAGACUCCUACGGGAGGCAGCAGUGGGGAAUAUUGGACAAUGGGCGCAAGCCUGAUCCAGCCAUACCGCGUGGGUGAAGAAGGCCUUCGGGUUGUAAAGCCCUUUUGUUGGGAAAGAAAAGCAGCAGGUUAAUACCCCGCUGUUCUGACGGUACCCAAAGAAUAAGCACCGGCUAACUUCGUG